rnacentral:rRNA from 1 species
UGGGGAAUAUUGGACAAUGGGCGGAAGCCUGAUCCAGCAACGCCGCGUGAGGGAUGACGGCCUUCGGGUUGUAAACCUCUUUCAGCACCGACGAAGCGAGAGUGACGGUAGGUGCAGAAGAAGGACCGGCCAACUACGUGCCAGCAGCCGCGGUAAUACGUAGGGUCCGAGCGUUGUCCGGAAUUAUUGGGCGUAAAGGGCUCGUAGGCGGUUUGUCGCGUCGGGAGUGAAAACACCGGGCUUAACUCGGUGCUUGCUUUCGAUACGGGCAGACUGGAGGUAUGCAGGGGAGAACGGAAUUCCUGGUGUAGCGGUGAAAUGCGCAGAUAUCAGGAGGAACACCGGUGGCGAAGGCGGUUCUCUGGGCAUUACCUGACGCUGGGGAGCGAAAGUGUGGGGAGCGAACAGG